AUCAGCAAAUCAUGUAGCUAGCUAUAUUUUGGAUUCACAUUAUACAUCCAUUUUGCCUAUGCUGGCUAGAAUGGUAACUUGGCUAGUUAGUUCUAUCCAUAUAAUUAGGAAUUAGGAUCUUUAUGGUUCAAUAUUUGACUAGCUAACGUUAGCAAAUGAUAGUAGCCUGUAGCUGAUAAUAUUUCUGUUUAAAAAAUGGCCUGGUUAGGUUUGCUAAGGUAACCAGUGAAAUCCAAAUAGAGACUAAGAAAUGUGGGUGGGUGGGUGGUUAAAUUGUGUGUUGUGUAUUUUGUUGUAGGUGUUAAAGAAUUUGAUUCCACCAGCAUGUCCUUCCACGUCGAACUCUGUACAAGGUGUGAUGACUGACCCUGAAGCUGCUGCUUUUUCAUCAGGUCAUGACCCCAGCUUCAACAGCACUGAGCCCGCAGACCCAAAGGAUGAGAGUUUUCACCUGGGAUCAAGCUCAACGUCAUCUUCAGAAGAGGAAGAGUCACAUUUAGGUUCUGAGUGGCAAGAUUCUGGCUGGCAAGAGCCGAAGUGUAUGAUGAAUGAGUCCAAAAUCAUGGAACUCAUGAAGUUCUGCCAGACAUGUGGACAGCCAAUAGUGAACACAGAGAUUUCAUACCUGGGAGCAAUGAUGAAAGUCAAAUGGGAUUGUAAUGGGGGACAGUCUGAAAUCUGACUUCCUCUCCUCUCCUCACGGCUGCAUCUGUGCUUUUCACAGGUUGUACCUACACUGAACUGGAAGACUGGGCUAAGACUAUGUACCUGAAGAUGAUUGGCAGCACAACCUUCUAUGACAUUCAAAAGGCUUACCUGCUUCCAGUGAUAAAUGUGGAAUAUGAGGAAAGGAGGACAGCUAUUUUAGGAAGACUGUUCCUAAAUCAACUAGAUGGCUUUGGAGCACAGGUGUCCGGGGUCGACGCAGUGACUCCCCUGGCUUCAAUGCAAAGUUGACAAACUACACCCUGAUGACGGACGGCACACACAAGAUUAUGCACACUGAGCUGAUACAGGUCACAGAGGCUCACAACUCUAUUGAAAUGGAGCCAAUUGGCUUCAAGCGCUCCCUGACUUCACUUCUUGACAUGGGUCUUCAAGUGGAUAUGGUUACUAUGUUCAUAAAAUGAUGCACGAGACCUUCUCAGAAAUCCUCCGUCAGAUUGUUGUAUGGUAUACACUAAAAGGUCUCCAAAAGAAGCUGGUGUUGAAGUCCAAGAAGCGAGGGAACAAUGGUUUGUGUCCGUGGAUACGCUCAAUCACCAAUCAUCUCUACUGGAGUGCAAAAUGCAAAGGAGAUCUAGAGCACCCCCCCUUAAAGCGCCGUUGGACUUCAGUUCUUCAACACAUCUCUGACGUCCACAGCUGGCCCAAGGAUGGGGAGGAAGUCUGUUGUCACCACGCUGAACUAAGCGACGUUGACAGGGUUAAGAAGAUGUGGCUGUCCAGUGACUCAGCUGUGUAUGAUGACCUGUCUUCAAUCAUUCUGGACAAGAGUUUGUGGACUGACUUGUCACAGAUGGCAGAAUUCAAGCACACCGGUUAUCUGGAGUCCUUCCACAGUACGCUGCUUAACUACACCCCAAUGCAUCUUCAUUUUAAGUACCCAGGCAUGAAGGAGCGAACACACCAUGCCGUUAUGGAACACAACGAGAAUGUGGGACGGAAACAAGCCAGGACACUUAAACAUACUUUUCUUCUCAAUACAAAAACAUGUCAACAAAAGGCUCCCUGCCAAGGGCUACUAUUGACAUUGUCGAUGAGCUGGGGAGGUUUACAGACAGGUCAUUGAGAUGAGGAAUUGGGGCUCUUGGUAGACGUCUCAUCAGGGAUGUUCUCAGAGACAGUAAAUGUAUUGUUGUGUAUGAGAGAGAUUGAGAGGUGUCAUUUCUCCUCAAUGUCUGUCAUACACAACAAUGCAUACUUACUGUCUAACAACUGCCCUCCUAAGAUCUUCUGCAACCCCUAGCCCAUUAAGUUUGUUGAGUGAUUGUUUUUUCAUUGUCCCUGAACAAUACACUAGCCGGUCUCAUCACUUACGCCGCAUCCUGUUGACACCUUUACCAACAAAGGUGUGUUGCCCUAUAUUUCUUCCCCAAUUAAGUGUAAGCACAUAGGCUCAGAUAAUGUAUCAGAUUGAAAUUGCUAACACCAGGUCCUCCCGAGUGGCGCAGCGGUCUAAGGCACUGCAUCACAGUGCUAGAGGCCUCAC